rfam:Schistosoma curassoni strain Dakar, Senegal genome assembly, scaffold: SCTD_scaffold0016345
AUACAGAUGACGAUUCCCAAAUAGAAAGAAAUGCGCGUUUUGUAU